ACGGGAGGCAGCAGUGAGGAAUAUUGGUCAAUGGAGGCAACUCUGAACCAGCCAUCUCGCGUGAAGGAAUACGGCCCUACGGGUCUUAAACUUCUUUUAUAGGGGGAUAAAGUGAGGCAUGCAUGCCUUUUUGUAGGUACCCUAUGAAUAAGCAUCGGCUAACUCCGUGCCAGCAGCCGCGGUAAUACGGAGGAUGCGAGCGUUAUCCGGAUUUAUUGGGUUUAAAGGGAGCGUAGGCGGCCUUUUAAGUCAGCGGUCAAAUGUCAGCGCCCAACGCUGGCCUGCCGUUGAUACUGAUGGGCUUGAAUACACACAAGGAAGGUGGAAUUCGUCGUGUAGCGGUGAAAUGCUUAGAUAUGACGAAGAACUCCGAUUGCGAAGGCAGCCUUCUGGAGUGCGAUUGACGCUGAGGCUCGAAAGCGCGGGUAUCAAACAGGAUUAGAUACCCUGGUA
rnacentral:rRNA from 1 species